rnacentral:rRNA from 1 species
CAGCCGCCACGGUAAUACAGAGGGUGCAAGCGUUAAUCGGAAUUACUGGGCGUAAAGCGCGCGUAGGUGGUUCGCCAAGUUGGAUGUGAAAUCCCCGGGCUCAACCUGGGAACUGCAUCCAAAACUGGCGAGCUAGAGUAUGGUAGAGGGUGGUGGAAUUUCCUGUGUAGCGGUGAAAUGCGUAGAUAUAGGAAGGAACAUCAGUGGCGAAGGCGACCACCUGGACUGAUACUGACACUGAGGUGCGAAAGCGUGGGGAGCAAACAGGAUUAGAUACCCCAGUAGUCCCUGUCUCUUAUAC